rnacentral:rRNA from 1 species
UACGGAGGGAGCUAGCGUUGUUCGGAAUUACUGGGCGUAAAGCGCACGUAGGCGGCUAUUCAAGUCAGGGGUGAAAUCCCGGAGCUUAACUCCGGAACUGCCUCUGAAACUAGGUAGCUAGAAUCUUGGAGAGGUCAGUGGAAUUCCGAGUGUAGAGGUGAAAUUCGUAGAUAUUCGGAAGAACACCAGUGGCGAAGGCGACUGACUGGACAAGUAUUGACGCUGAGGUGCGAAAGCGUGGGGAGCAAACAGGAUUAGAAACCCGCGUAGUCC